UACAGAGGUGGCAAGCGUUGUUCGGAAUUACUGGGCGUAAAGGGCGCGUAGGCGGCCUUCUAAGUCAGACGUGAAAUCCCCCGGCUUAACCUGGGAACUGCGUCUGAUACUGGAGGGCUUGAGUGCGGGAGAGGGAUGUGGAAUUCCUGGUGUAGCGGUGAAAUGCGUAGAUAUCUGGAGGAACACCGGUGGCGAAGGCGGCAUCCUGGACCGACACUGACGCUGAGGCGCGAAAGCUAGGGUAGCAAACGGG
rnacentral:rRNA from 1 species